rnacentral:tRNA from 1 species
GCGGGAGUACCCAAGCCAGGUCUAAGGGGCGAGGUUCAGGACCUCGUGGCGUAGGCCUUCGUGGGUUCGAAUCCCACCUCCCGCA